AGAUUGAACGCUGGCGGCAGGCCUAACACAUGCAAGUCGAGCGGUAGAGAGGUGCUUGCACCUCUUGAGAGCGGCGGACGGGUGAGUAAUGCCUAGGAAUCUGCCUAGUGGUGGGGGAUAACGUUCGGAAACGGACGCUAAUACCGCAUACGUCCUACGGGAGAAAGCGGGGGACCUUCGGGCCUCGCGCCAUUAGAUGAGCCUAGGUCGGAUUAGCUAGUUGGUGAGGUAAUGGCUCACCAAGGCGACGAUCCGUAACUGGUCUGAGAGGAUGAUCAGUCACACUGGAACUGAGACACGGUCCAGACUCCUACGGGAGGCAGCAGUGGGAAUUUUGGACAAUGGGGAACCCUGAUCCAGCCAUCCCGCGUGUGCGAUGAAGGCCUUCGGGUUGUAAGCACUUUGGCGUAGGAAGAACGGACGUCCCUAAGUACGGGCGUCGACGUGACGGUACCUGCAGAAUAACGCACCGACUAACUACGU
rnacentral:rRNA from 1 species